rnacentral:rRNA from 1 species
UACAGAGGUCCCCAAGCGUUGUUCGGAUUCACUGGGCGUAAAGGGUGCGUAGGUGGCUUGGUAAGUCUGAUGUGAAAUCUCGGAGCCUAACUCCGAAACUGCAUCGGAUACUAUUGAGCUGGAGGUUUGGAGGGGAGACUGGAAUUCUCGGUGUAGCAGUGAAAUGCGUAGAUAUCGAGAGGAACGCCAAUGGCGAAGGCUAGUCUCUGGACAAAUCCUGACACUGAGGCACGAAAGCUAGGGGAGCAAACAGGAUUAGAACCGUACCGGUACGUCCGU